CCAAAACUCUUUUCAAGCUUUAGCAUAACCUUUGUGAGACUUAACAAACGAGCAAUUGUCACCAUGUCAUAAUGUGAAAUGUUAUACCUCUAAAUGAGUAUUUAAGCAAGUGUCACCAUGAUAUGACAUGAUACAAAUAGAUGAACAUUAGAAUAGGGGAUACAAACUGCAACACACAUUUAGAUAAUUGAUUUAACUUUCUGAAAUAUAAAAGAUGUUUAGAUAGACUAAUACCACUAAAAAAA
rnacentral:lncRNA from 1 species